ensembl:miRNA
GUGGUACCUGAAAAGAGGUUUUCUGGGUUUCUGUUUCUUUAUUGAGGAUGAAACACACCUGGUUAACCUCUUUUCCAGUAUCA